CCUACGGGAGGCAGCAGUAGGGAAUCUUCCACAAUGGGCGCAAGCCUGAUGGAGCAACGCCGCGUGAGUUAAGACGGCCUUCGGGUUGUAAAGCUCUGUCUGUCGGGACGAAGACCGGCCCGGAAGGGCCGGGGAGCCGGUACCGACGGAGGAAGCCCCUGCAAACUACGUGCCAGCAGCCGCGGUAAGACGUAGGGGGCAAGCGUUGUCCGGAAUUACUGGGCGUAAAGGGCGUGUAGGCGGUGCGAUACGUAGCGGUUUUAAGCCUCCGGCUCACCCGGAGGAGGGCGGCUAAACGGUCGCGCUAGAGGGCAGGAGAGGUGCGUGGAAUUCCUGGUGGAGCGGUGAAAUGCGUAGAGAUCAGGAAGAACACCCGUGGCGAAGGCGGCGCACUGGCCUGGCCCUGACGCUGAGGCGCGACAGCGUGGGGAGCGAACGGGAUUAGAUACCCCGGUAGUCCACGCCGUAAACGAUGGGUACUAGGUGUCGCCCGGGUCCACCGGGCGGUGCCGGAGCUAACGCACUAAGUACCCCGCCUGGGGAGUACGGCCGCAAGGUUGAAACUCAAAGGAAUUGACGGGG
rnacentral:rRNA from 1 species